UGCUUAGGCUGGUCCCGUGGAAAGA
rnacentral:piRNA from 1 species